GCGGAAGGCAGCAAAGGCAGACAUGCAAGGGAGCUGAUGUUCCAGGGAGCGGACACGAAGCAAGCAACACGAACCCGUGGUGUGAUGUGAUGCGGAGACAUUUAUCCAGCACCUGCUGUGUACCAGGCUCUGUUCUAGGUGCUGAGUAUACAAGAAUGGAGAAGUUCACCUAAAAUGUUACCAUCUUCUCUACAAUAUCUUACCUCAACAACACACUCUUGUGCCUGGAUUGUUGCAAUUGCUUCCGAAUCAGUUUUUCUGUCUCCACUCUUAAUGUCAUUCAAGACUUUCUGCACCUGACAGCACAACAGUCCCUCCAAAGUGUCACUCAGCAGCUUAACCCCCCCACACUGCCCUCGGGAGCAGCCCCCCAGUGUCUCACAGGGCUGAGAUGAUGCCCUCCUUGACUUGAACCUUCAUGCUUCUCAGAGAAACGCCUUUCAACUUGGUGCUGUCAGACCCACGUAGACUCUGCUGAAGCACAGCCAGUUCCUCUCAAUUCUCGAAUGAGCCACCUUCCCUCUCACCUCCAAGUGGCGGCUCACGCUGUUGACUGCCUGCACGAUGUUCUCCCUGGCUCUGCAGUUAAUUGCCUGUGUAUCACUCCUGCACCAUGGAGAAGGCAAUCAGAAACAUCCUUCCUCCU
rnacentral:lncRNA from 1 species